GUGUCAGCAGCCGCGGUAAGACGGGGGAUGCAAGUGUUAUCCGGAUUUACUGGGCGUAAAGCGUCUGCAGGUGGUUUCUUAAGUCUACUGUUAAAUCUUGAGGCUCAACCUCAAAUCUGCAGUAGAAACUAGGAGACUUGAGUAUAGUAGGGGUAGAGGGAAUUUCCAGUGGAGCGGUGAAAUGCGUAGAUAUUGGAAAGAACACCGAUGGCGAAGGCACUCUACUGGGCUAUUACUGACACUCAGAGACGAAAGCUAGGGGAGCAAAUGGGAUUAGAUACCCCAGUAGUCCUAGCCGUAAACGAUGGAUACUCGAUGUUGGACGUAUCGACCCGUUCAGUAUCUUAGCUAACGCGUUAAGUAUCCCGCCUGGGGAGUACGCUCGCAAGAGUGAA
rnacentral:rRNA from 1 species